AACGCACAUUGCGCCCUUUGGCAUUCCGAGGGGCAUGCCUGUUCGAGCGUCAUUAACAACCAUCAAGCCUGGCUUGCCGUUGAGCCCCGCCCGUGACAGGGCCGGCUCGAAAGACAGCGACGGCGUCGGUCGGACCCUAGAUGCAACGAGCUCUGAGUAGCACGCAUCGAUGUGGCCGGCCGCGCCCGUCCACCCCUUUUCUAUCUCAGGUUGACCUCGGAUCAGGUAGGAAUACCCGCUGAACUUAA
rnacentral:misc_RNA from 1 species